UCACCAGCUCCACAGAUGUCUCCGUGCCACCAGGACGAGUGGCUCAGCCCCUGCCCAUGCUGCAGAAAUCUGUACCAACAGAGCAGAAAUCUGCUGCUGAACUUAUUUUCCUCCUUGCCAUUCACUGGGGAGGCUGCUGGGGAAGUGGGAGCUUUUGCUCCAGGAGCUGA